rnacentral:rRNA from 1 species
CAGUCGCCGCGGUAAUACGUAGGGUGCAAGCGUUAAUCGGAAUUACUGGGCGUAAAGCGUGCGCAGGCGGUUAUAUAAGACAGAUGUGAAAUCCCCGGGCUCAACCUGGGAACUGCAUUUGUGACUGUAUAGCUAGAGUACGGCAGAGGGGGAUGGAAUUCCGCGUGUAGCAGUGAAAUGCGUAGAUAUGCGGAGGAACACCGAUGGCGAAGGCAAUCCCCUGGGCCUGUACUGACGCUCAUGCACGAAAGCGUGGGGAUCAAACAGGAUUAGAUACCCCGGUAGUCCCUGUCUCUUAUAC